GAUGAACGCUAGCGGCAGGCUUAAUACAUGCAAGUCAAGGGAGAAUGGGGCUUCGGCCCCAGGGAACCGGCGCACGGGUGCGUAACGCGUACACAACAUGCCUUAUACUGGAGUGUAGCCUCGGGAAACUGGGAGUAAUCCUCCAUAACAUUAUCGGGUGGCAUCACCUGGUAAUUAAAGCUCUGGAGGUAUAAGAUUGGUGUGCGUAUGAUUAGCUAGUUGGUAGGGUAACGGCCUACCAAGGCGACGAUCAUUAGCUGGCGUGAGAGCGCGACCAGCCACACUGGAACUGAGACACGGUCCAGACUCCUACGGGAGGCAGCAGUAGGGAAUAUUGGACAAUGGGCGAAAGCCUGAUCCAGCCAUGCCGCGUGAUGGAUGAAGGCCCUCUGGGUUGUAAACAUCUUUUAUCAGGGAAGAAACACCCCGUUUCUACGGGAUUUGACGGUACCUGAUGAAUAAGCACCGGCUAACUCCGUGCCAGCAGCCGCGGUAA
rnacentral:rRNA from 1 species